UACGGAGGAUCCAAGCGUUAUCCGGAUUUAUUGGGUUUAAAGGGUGCGUAGGUGGCCUGUUAAGUCAGGGGUGAAAGACGGUAGCUUAACUAUCGCAGUGCCUUUGAUACUGACGGGCUUGAAUACACUAGAGGUAGGCGGAAUGUGACAAGUAGCGGUGAAAUGCAUAGAUAUGUCACAGAACGCCAAUUGCGAAGGCAGCUUACUAUGGUGUCAUUGACACUGAGGCACGAAAGCGUGGGGAUCAAACAGG
rnacentral:rRNA from 1 species